AUCAAAAACAUAAAUCUACUUGCUAUUACAAGCAUUCAUCUCAGCUAUUACAUUUUACAUUCCACAUUACAUUCUUUUACAUUGAUCCUCAACUUCCAAUUAUACAAUUUAGUUCUUAACAUACUUAUUACAAUAUUGUUGUAAGGAAGCGAAUUCUCGAAACUCGAGUAUUAGAUUUCGAUCAGAAUCGACUAGUGGUCGAGUGUGUAAUCUUCGGAAAGUCCGAAGGUGA
rnacentral:lncRNA from 1 species